GACGAACGCUGGCGGCGUGCCUAAUACAUGCAAGUAGAACGCUGAAGAGAGGAGCUUGCUCUUCUUGGAUGAGUUGCGAACGGGUGAGUAACGCGUAGGUAACCUGCCUGGUAGCGGGGGAUAACUAUUGGAAACGAUAGCUAAUACCGCAUAAAAUGGAUUAUCGCAUGAUAAUCCAUUGAAAGGUGCAAAUGCAUCACUACCAGAUGGACCUGCGUUGUAUUAGCUAGUUGGUGGGGUAACGGCUCACCAAGGCGACGAUACAUAGCCGACCUGAGAGGGUGAGCGGCCACACUGGGACUGAGACACGGCCCAGACUCCUACGGGAGGCAGCAGUAGGGAAUCUUCGGCAAUGGACGGAAGUCUGACCGAGCAACGCCGCGUGAGUGAAGAAGGUUUUCGGAUCGUAAAGCUCUGUUGUAAGAGAAGAACGAGUGUGAGAGUGGAAAGUUCACACUGUGACGGUAGCUUACCAGAAAGGGACGGCUAACUACGUG
rnacentral:rRNA from 1 species